CAUAGCUAAUUUAAUGAUGGCUGGGCAACUGACCAAAUGGAAUCAGUAAGAUUAUCUCCUUAGGAAAUUUGAAUUUGGAACUCAGGGAUUCUACUGAGUCCCAUUACUUUUGUUAAUCCGAGGAUAUGUUAAUCCAAGAAUUGAUAGGACUAGCAGAAAGCUCAGAGGAACAAAGAAAGUUGUUUUGAACAAAGAAGAAUGAUUCUGCAAGAGAGGAAUUAUCUCAAACAAGAACUGAGAAAGUCUGCAAGUAAACAUAAGAAAUACAGCGUUUCUAAGACACUGACUAUUUUGGAUGUGGUCAAAUGUACCAUUUACCUAUAGAUAUGAAAUCAUGGGGAGCUACAUCAAAACCUGCU